rnacentral:rRNA from 1 species
AGAUGAAAGGCAUUGAAGAAGUCAACAGUACUGAAUGGUGAAGGAAGCGCUGCAACAGCCUGCCGCGGUAAUCACCGUAUCUACGGUGCAUCACCGUGGUCAGCCAGCAUCGUUUGGGCGCUUGAUAAGUCAACUGGAAGGAAGUCCUCCCGGGAGUGUAUUAGCAAGAGGUGCCAGGCAGCCGGCCCGGACGGAGGACCGCGUUUGGCUUAGGAUGUUGGCUUAAUGUUUGUAAGCGACCCUUCUUGAAACACGGACCAAGGAUUUUACCAUUUAUGGGAGUGUUUGGGGGUCAAACCCAUGCGCGUAAUGAAAGUGAACGGAGGUGGGAACCUUCAAGGGGGCACCUUGGACCGUUCCGGAGUUUUUCGGAUGGAUUGGAGUAAGAGCAUAGCUGUUGGGACCCGAAAGAUGGUGACUUAUCCCGGAAUAGGGGGAAGCCAGAGGAAAUUCUGGUGGAGGUUGGCAGCGGUUCUGACGUGCAAAUCGUUCUUCAAAUUUGGGUAUAGGGGGGAAAGAUUAUUGGACCCUUUUGUUAUUGAAUGGGACACGGGCCUGGGUGCCCCAGUAGUCCCCCCAUGGCGGGGGCACCUUGUUCGUUUUUUUGGGGAACCCUUCGGGCUACCCGCAGUGAGCUCCAGGCUCAUUCACAGGUGGCGGUGGCCGUGGCAUGGAGCACGGUUAGGAUAUAGCCGAU